rnacentral:rRNA from 1 species
UACGUAGGUCGCAAGCGUUGUCCGGAUUUACUGGGCGUAAAGAGCGCGCAGGCGGUUGGUCAAGUCCGAUGUGAAAUCUCCCGGCUCAACUGGGAAACAGCAUCGGAAACUGAUCGGCUUGAAGAUGGGAGAGGGUAGUGGAAUUCCCGGUGUAGUGGUGAAAUGCGUAGAUAUCGGGAGGAACACCAGUGGCGAAGGCGCUCUGCUAGGCCGUAACUGACACUGAGGGACGAAAGCUAGGGGAGCGAACGGG